rnacentral:rRNA from 1 species
GACGAACGCUGGCGGCGUGCCUAAUACAUGCAAGUUGAGCGCUGAAGGUUGGUACUUGUACCGACUGGAUGAGCAGCGAACGGGUGAGUAACGCGUGGGGAAUCUGCCUUUGAGCGGGGGACAACAUUUGGAAACGAAUGCUAAUACCGCAUAAAAACUUUAAACACAAGUUUUAAGUUUGAAAGAUGCAAUUGCAUCACUCAAAGAUGAUCCCGCGUUGUAUUAGCUAGUUGGUGAGGUAAAGGCUCACCAAGGCGAUGAUACAUAGCCGACCUGAGAGGGUGAUCGGCCACAUUGGGACUGAGACACGGCCCAAACUCCUACGGGAGGCAGCAGCAGGGAAUCUUCGGCAAUGGACGAAAGUCUGACCGAGCAACGCCGCGUGAGUGAAGAAGGUUUUCGGAUCGUAAAACUCUGUUGGUAGAGAAGAACGUUGGUGAGAGUGGAAAGCUCAUCAAGUGACGGUAACUACCCAGAAAGGGACGGCUAACUACGUG